rnacentral:lncRNA from 7 species
AGCAUAACUGCAUUUGAGGAAACAUCAGUGUAAGUAAGACAUUAUGGGCAGACCGAAGAAAAAAUGCAGGAAGGUGGAGUGGAAAAAUUAUGGAAAUACGUGGACAAUAUCUCAAAAUAUCUGAUAUCCGAAGGAACUGUGGAGAAUGCAGGUGUAACAGUGAAGUCACAAGACUCCACAUUAAGUAUUCUUUUGAGAAUUCACCAGGAGACAAUUUGUUUUAAAAGAGACCAAAAUCAAUGAGUUUCUUCAGUAACUUCUGGACGUAAAUGUAUCUCUUUGAUUAAGGAAAAAUCCGACUGGUCUCAGGACAUUGUUCUUUGUUUUUUAAUCCAAAAUCCACAACUCUUUGAUUCUGUGAAAAUAUAGACUCAAAUUUCAAAGGUAUUGCAUUUACAUGCAUUUCAUCGGAGUUUCUCAGAGGACAGAAUAGAAGCAGACACUACUCAUCUGAGAUACUGUCUUCUAUAGUUUUUGGAAACAAGUUAGGUUUAAAAAGCAGAAAGACAGGGAAGACAUGAAAAUUGCGACCCCUGAGUGUGACAUUUUCAAACACAUUCAUGGUAUUAAGUUAAAUGAAUGACACUCAAGUACAUCUAGCAAUUUCCAGAGGCCAAGAUGAGCACGAGUAAGGCCUGAAUCUAAAUCGCAUGUAACUCUGUUAAGCCUUACUGAAGCUGAAGCAAGCACAGCUCCCUAGUGGUCAUCUAGGAGAGUUCAUAAUAAGAGUGAGUGAAAAGGAAGAUAUUUUAACUUAAUAGUCACAAAAACAUUGUGGGAGGGUAGUGCAGUGAAUGAGAAAUUCUCACCUUCUGAAUUCCUUGAAUAAAGAACUGCAAUUGAGGAUGGUAUCACACACUGAAGCUCCCCUACUGAGUUUGACCAUAACUGAUAUAUGCAUAGCUUUAGGGAGAAGUUAAUUUUAAAAUAUUAGAAUAGCAUGCUCCAAACAGUUGUCUCAAUAUGUUUGCAUGUAGAGAAAAACAAUGGUUCCUUCAUCCACGUGCUGUGUUAUCUACAUGUGCAUAUAUAACUUCAGCAUAUAUGCAUUUUAUGAUUAUCACCACUCCCUUGUACUUGUGGAACCUAUUAUGCUGUGUAUGGAUUUUUAUCCUCUAUAAUCCUUGUAUUCUCUCUGUGAAUUUGUAAAUGUACUCCAUAAUGCUUUGAAGAUUAAUCCCAUAAUUAAAGGGCAUAGUU